ensembl:misc_RNA Metazoa_SRP Metazoan signal recognition particle RNA
GCUGGGCAUGGUGAUGUGUGCCUGUGGUCCCAACUACUAGGGAGGCUGAGGUGGGAGAAUCACUUGAGCCCAGAAGGUCAAGGCUGCAGUGAGUCGUGAUCACGCCACUGCACUCUGGUCUGGAUGACAGAGUGAGACCCUGUCUCAA